GAAAGAAUAUCGGAGACGGAUGGGCAUGCGGCGCAUUAGCUAGUUGGCGGGGUAACGGCCCACCAAGGCGACGAUGCGUAGGGGUUCUGAGAGGAAGGUCCCCCACACUGGUACUGAGACACGGACCAGACUCCUACGGGAGGCAGCAGUGAGGAAUAUUGGUCAAUGGGCGAGAGCCUGAACCAGCCAAGUCGCGUGAGGGAGUACUGCCCUAUGGGUUGUAAACCUCUUUUGUCGGGGAGCAAAAGCCGGACGUGUCCGUCUGUGAGAGUACCCGAAGAAAAAGCAUCGGCUAACUCCGUGCCAGCAGCCGCGGUAAUACGGAGGAUGCGAGCGUUAUCCGGAUUUAUUGGGUUUAAAGGGUGCGCAGGCGGAUUUUUAAGUCAGCGGUCAAAUCGUGGGGCUCAACCCCAUCCAGCCGUUGAAACUGGGGAUCUAGAGUGUGCGAGAGGUAUGCGGAAUGCGUGGUGUAGCGGUGAAAUGCAUAGAUAUCACGCAGAACCCCGAUUGCGAAGGCAGCAUACCGGUGCACAACUGACGCUCAGGCACGAAAGCGUGGGUAUCGAACAGGAUUAGAUACCCUGGUAGUCCACGCAGUAAACGAUGAGUGCUACCUGUUUGGCCAGAUUGAAGGCUGA
rnacentral:rRNA from 1 species